rnacentral:misc_RNA from 1 species
CAAAAAAAAAAAAAAAAAUUUGCCUCUCUAAAGGCAAUGUUGGCAAGCAAUACCAAAAUAGUAGGUGGAUCUUUACCUAAAGAGCCCAUAUGGCUGCAACAAUAGUUGCCCAAAUUUCAACAAACCUUCAAGGCAGUACCAAGUGCUAGCCUUUGAGUUUAUAUAUAUAUAUAAACACUGAAAAGAACUAUUAGGAUCUUUAGGACUACGAAGGGCUGUGUUUAAAACAGGAAGGAAAGAAAUUUAUUUAUUGAGGAAGAAGAAACUAAUUUAUGCAGAUAGCUCUGGUACCAUAUUAAGAUUUAAGAAUAAGAAAAGA